rnacentral:tRNA from 1 species
GGGCCUAUAGCUCAGUUGGUAUGAGCGUUCGACUGAUAAUCGAAAGGUCAGUGGUUCAAACCCACUUAGGCCCA